rfam:Nicotiana attenuata strain TT chromosome 5, whole genome shotgun sequence.
UGGACAAAUUAUUGUAUUCGACUGUAUUCACGGUGUGAAACAUGGGAUUACACUGUUUUUAAACGGAAAGUGAAUCAAUUAACACAAUAGACUCCU